rnacentral:misc_RNA from 1 species
UUUUUCUCUUCGUCUAUCCUGUAUUUCUCUCUCUUUGUUUUUCAAUUUUUAUGUUUCCUUGAAUUCAAUUAACCUUGCGACUAUGUUGUUAAUCUUCUGCGAUCCUGUCGGCUGUUUGGUUCACGAGAAACUAUAGGAAAAAAUAAAAAAUAGGACAAAAUUUUUUAAUUUCAUGUUAUUUUGUUGCUUCGUAAUUUUGGCUCCUGAAAAACCUAAAUUUGAUUUUUUUUUUUUUCUUAUCUUUUG